rnacentral:lncRNA from 1 species
UUUUCUAUGGGUCUGCUUUACCACCCUUGGAGGUCCACUGUUGCCUUUCCCCAGGGACUGCUACAGCACCUUUCAGACUGACCUUUCUGCUUCCUCUUCCACCCCCUUGAAUCCAUCCUCCCUGCUCCUGAAGAUCAAAUUAGGGACCUGGGAGACAUCUCUGUAAGUAACAGCGCUUUCUAUCCAAGCAUGAAUAACUGAGUUCAAAUCCCCAGCUCUCACCUAACAAGGCAGGGGUAGCUGAAUGUGCCUGUAGCCCCAGCAUUGAGGGUAGAAACAAGCAGGUGCAAGGAGCUUGAAGCUUCAAAUAGUGAGCUUAUGGGUCCAUAAGAGAGCCUUUCUGAAAUGAACAGUGUAGACAGUGGUAGAGGAAGAAAGCUGGAGUCCUCAUCUGGGCUCUGAAUUCUCAUGUGUAGGAGUGUGAACCAUACACACACACACACACCCCAUGUACCAACACACAUACAACACAAAACCCCCCAUGCACCCACACACAUACAACACAACACCCCCCAUGCACCCACACACAUACAAACACAACACCCCCAUACACCCACACACAUACAUCACAACACCCCCAUACACCCACACACAUACAUCACAACACCCCCCAUGCACCCACACACAUACAACACAACACCCCUAAUGCACCCAUACACAUACAAUACAACACCCCCAUGCACCCACACACAUACAACACAACACCCCCCAUGCACCCACACACAUACAACACAACACCCUCAUGCACACAUACACAUACAAUACAACACCCCCAUGCACCCACACACAUACAACACAACACCCCCAUGUACCCACACACAUACAACACAACACCCCCAUGUACCCACACACAUACAACACAACACCCCCAUGCACCCACACACAUACAACACAACACCCCCCAUGCACCCACACACAUACAACACAACACCCCCAUGUACCCACACACAUACAACACAACACCCCCAUGCACCCACACACAUACAACACAACACCCCCAUGCACCCACACACAUACAAC